rnacentral:lncRNA from 1 species
CCGUGAGUCUUUUUAACAUUUACGCUUUAUAACUACUCGUUUUUACGAUUAAACUAUGUAACUUGCUAAACAUGGCUUUGCUUAAUCGACCUUGGAAAAUACUACGUGUUUCCUGCAGAUUUUUUUAUCAAAGUUCUCCCAUUUUUAAAGACGAGAACCUAGAAAAUACGUUUAAACUACAAGAAAAUUCUGCAGAAUACAACGGUGACGGCGAGAAAAUUAAAGCAAACAAUUGUGAUAGUAAAGAAAUACCAAUAAACGUUGAAUCAGCAAGAGCAAAAAUAUUUGCAGAUAGCACAGAACGAGUCAUAGGCGUCAAACUUGACGCUUAAUACGAAAAAGAAACACUCGCGUGCCUGGUUCGAUGACACGAGUAGAAACUUUUGUAAUUUUGUACUUUUGUAAUUUUGCUUUGUUUAGUUAAUUAAUUAACUUGAA